UUAGCCCUACGGGGGGCAGCAGUAGGGAAUUUUCGGCAAUGGGGGAAACCCUGAUGCAGCGACGCCGCGUGAGUGAAGAAGUAUUUCGGUACGUAAAGCUCUAUCAGCAGGGAAGAAAGAAAGUCCUUUGGACUUUGGACGGUACCUGACCAAGAAGCCCCGGCUAACUACGUGCCAGCAGCCGCGGUAAUACGUAGGGGGCAAGCGUUAUCCGGAUUUACUGGGUGUAAAGGGAGCGUAGACGGCAGCGCAAGUCUGGAGUGAAAUGCCGGGGCCCAACCCCGGAACUGCUUUGGAAACUGUGC
rnacentral:rRNA from 1 species